rnacentral:rRNA from 1 species
UACGUAGGUCCCGAGCGUUAUCCGGAAUUAUUGGGCGUAAAGGGUGCGCAGGUGGUUAUGUAAGUCUGGUGUGAAAUUUUUGGGCUCAACCCAAAAAGGUCAUUGGAAACUGCAUAACUUGAGAGCAGGAGAGGUAAGUGGAAUUCCUAGUGUAGCGGUGAAAUGCGUAGAGAUUAGGAGGAACACCAGUGGCGAAGGCGGCUUACUGGACUGUAUCUGACACUGAGGCACGAAAGCGUGGGUAGCAAACAGGAUUAGAUACCCUGGUAGUCCACGCCGUAAACGAUGAGUGCUAAGUGUUGCGGGUCAAACCGCAGUGCUGAAGUUAACGCAAUAAGCACUCCGCCUGGGGAGUACGACCGCAAGGUUGAA